UUUUAAAGAUUAGAUUUGUUGCUACACUGUUAAUCAAUGCUCUGUUUUCACAUUAUCAAUUUUUUUGAGAAGCACUGAUGUGUUAAUUAGGUGUGUGCAUUCUCUUUUUGACUCCCUGUUGACUCGCACUAAAUAAAGUGAUUAUUUUUGUCA